UUUUGUAACCAAGAGCACCCCCAUCUUUAUGUAGUUAAUAGUAUAUCCACGUUGGGCAGUGUUCUCGGCCAAGGAAUGUGAGUGUAAACUGAGACCAGCUGGUGGGGACCGUUCAUAAACACAGGCUGAGGAUAUUGCUGCAGGGCUGGUUCUGGGGAUCGUUCUCAAAUGAUGUCUGUGUGGGGCUGGAACUGAGGGAAUCUUUCAAAAGAAAGCGUAAACAAUUUCUUAACCAUGGCAACAGCAGCAGAAAAUAUCCCAAAGGUGCUAUCUAAGCUGCAGUGGAUGCAGGAGCAGCACAUCUGGCCCAACGGCCUGCGCUACCUGUGGACCGACGCCCACGGAGUCUGUCUCCUCGUUUCGCUCUACAAGGAACUCCAGGAGGAGAAGUACCUGAAGG